GUACUUGCGAGUCAUUUUUGUGUUGCCGUUUAUCUUGGUUUGUAAGUGGACUUCUUACUGGAAAAGAUGGCAACUUUUGAAUUUUACAACGUCUUGAAAGAAUAUUUGUCGCCUGAAAAUUUUAACUCCAGUCGAAUGAAGACGGAACGAAACGAAAUGCGAUGUGUGUCUGUGAACUUGUACAAUGGAUACGUAUAGCUUUUUGAUGCCCAGUGGUAACCAGCCUUCCAUGUGACUGAACAGAUGUCAGUGUACCCGAAUUCUGAGACACAACUGGAUGCUCUUUUGUUCUGCUUUUAAGAUUUCGAAUUCAAGAUGAUGUGCAGUUCAUGUUAGAUUUGCUAUUUCUACAGUUACAGUGAAGUAGAAGAGUCCGGUCGUGUUAUGGGGCAGCAAUUAAACAAGAAGGAAGGAGAGAUGUGUGCCAUGUUGAAGUAGUGGGUGGCCCUCCUGCCCGGCACGUCUAGAAUCCUCCAUCUCAAUCUCUGGUCUGAUCUGCCAUGCCUUUGCCAAGUGAUCAGGAGGUUAUUGCAAUGGUGCCCCCCUGCAUCCCCACUGUCUGUUAAAUCAGCUCCAACUGCCUGUAAUGCCAGA